CCAAACUUGGUCAUUUAGAGGAAGUAAAAGUCGUAACAAGGUUUCCGUAGGUGAACCUGCGGAAGGAUCAUUAAAAGGAAGCGGUGCCUUUGUGGCCCGAUCCUCUAACCACUGCAAACCAAACGUCUGUUGCCUCGGCAGGUUGGGAUUUCGUAGAAAGUUCCCCCACCCCCCACAUUCUUGGGGGGUAGGAGCAGCCUGCCGCGGGAUAUACAAAGUACCUUUUGUUUGAUGAAUGUCUAACUAUACCUUCGCGAAUGCGAUAAAUACAACUUUCAACAAUGGAUCUCUUGGCUCCGGCAUCGAUGAAGAACGCAGC
rnacentral:misc_RNA from 1 species